rnacentral:rRNA from 1 species
UACGUAGGGGGCAAGCGUUAUCCGGAUUUAUUGGGCGUAAAGGGAACGCAGGCGGUCUUUUAAGUCUGAUGUGAAAGCCUUCGGCUUAACCGGAGUAGUGCAUUGGAAACUGGGAGACUUGAGUGCAGAAGAGGAGAGUGGAACUCCAUGUGUAGCGGUGAAAUGCGUAGAUAUAUGGAGGAACACCGGUGGCGAAAGCGGCUCUCUGGCCUGUAACUGACACUGAGGCUCGAAAGCGUGGGGAGCAAACAGG